CAUCGCCUUUUGAAUUAAUAAAAGGUCUAACCUGCCCACUGAGGUAUUAAAGGGCCGCGGUAUUUUGACCGUGCAAAGGUAGCAUAAUCAUUAGUCUUUUAAUUAAAGGCUGGAAUGAAGGGUUGAACGAGGUACAAGCUGUCUCAUAAAAAUAAAUAUAAUUUAACUUUUUAGUGAAAAGGCUAAAAUAUUAUUGUAGGACGAGAAGACCCUAUAGAGUUUAAUAAUUAUUUUAAAUAAAAGUAUAGUAAGAGGUUUAAUUAUUUAAAUAAAUUAUUUUGUUGGGGUGACAAGAAAAUAAUUUAACUUUUCUUAAUUAGAUUCAUAAAUUUAUGUAUUUAUGAUCCAUUAUUAAUGAUUAUAAGAUUAAGUUACCUUAGGGAUAACAGCGUAAUCUUUUUUGAGAGUUCUAAUCGACAAAAGGGAUUGCGACCUCGAUGUUGGACUAAGGGAAAUUUUGGGUGUAGAUGUUCAAAUUUUAGGUCUGUUCGACCUUUAAAACCUUACAU
rnacentral:rRNA from 1 species